rnacentral:rRNA from 1 species
AUGGGACGCCGCACCCGCACGCACGCCGUCCAGGCGGCCGCGCUGCUGCUCGCCUUCCUCCAUCUGCACGUGGCCGCGGCCGCCGACCCGCCCUUUUCCUGCGGCGCGGCGUCGGGCGCGCCGUACUGCGACCGGAAGCUGCCGAUGGAGCGGCGGGCGGCGGACCUGGUGUCGAAGCUGUCGCUGGAGGAGAAGAUCUCGCAGCUGGGCGACGAGUCGCCGGCGGUGGCCCGGCUGGGUGUGCCGGCGUACAAGUGGUGGUCGGAGGCGCUGCACGGCGUGGCGUGGAGCAAGGGCAUGCACCUGGACGGCCCGCUCCGCGCCGCCACCAGCUUCCCGCAGGUCAUCCUCACCGCCGCGUCCUUCAACCCGCACCUCUGGUACAGGAUCGGCCAGGCGAUCGGCAGGGAGGCGCGGGGCGUGUACAACAACGGGCAGGCGGAGGGGCUGACCUUGUGGGCGCCCAACAUCAACGUGUUCCGGGACCCGCGGUGGGGCCGGGGCCAGGAGACCCCCGGCGAGGACCCGGCCAUGACGGGCAAGUACGCCGCCGUGUUCGUCCGCGGCGUGCAGGGCUACGGCAUGUCCGGCGCCAUCAACUCCUCCGACCUGGAGGCCUCCGCCUGCUGCAAGCACUUCGCCGCCUACGACCUCGACAACUGGAAGGGCGUCACCCGCUUCGCCUUCGACGCAAAGGUGACGGAGCAGGACCUGGCGGACACGUACAACCCGCCGUUCAAGAGCUGCGUGGAGGACGGCGGCGCCAGCGGCAUCAUGUGCUCCUACAACCGCGUCAAUGGCGUGCCCACCUGCGCCGACCACAACCUCCUCUCCAAGACCGCCAGAGGCGACUGGAGCUUCAACGGAUACAUCACGUCGGACUGCGACGCCGUGGCCAUCAUCCACGACGUCCAGGGGUAUGCCAAGGCGCCAGAGGAUGCGGUGGCAGAUGUCCUCAAGGCCGGUAUGGACGUGAACUGCGGCGGCUACAUCCAGACGCACGGCGUGUCGGCGUACCGGCAGGGCAAGAUCACGGGGGAGGACAUCGACAGGGCCCUCCGCAACCUCUUCGCCAUCCGGAUGAGGCUGGGCCUCUUCAACGGCAACCCCAAGUACAACCGCUACGGCAACAUCGGCGCCGACCAGGUGUGCAACAAGGAGCACCAGGACCUGGCCCUGCAGGCGGCGCAGGACGGCAUCGUCCUGCUCAAGAACCACGCCGGCGCGCUGCCCCUCUCCAAGUCCAAGCUCUCCUCCUCCUCCAUCGCCGUCAUCGGGCCCAACGGCAACAACGCGUCGCUGCUGCUCGGCAACUACUUCGGCCCGCCGUGCAUCUCCGUCACGCCGUUCCAGGCGCUGCAGGGGUACGUCAAGGACGCCCGGUUCGUCCAGGGGUGCAACGCCGCCGUGUGCAACGUGUCCGACAUCGGGGAGGCGGUGCACGCGGCCACCUCGGCGGACUACGUCGUGCUGUUCAUGGGGCUGGAUCAGGACCAGGAGAAGGAGGAGGUGGAUAGGCUGGACCUGGGGCUCCCCGGGAUGCAGGAGAGCCUUGUCAACAAGGUUGCCGACGCGGCCAAGAAGCCGGUGAUCUUGGUGCUGCUUUGCGGCGGACCGGUGGACGUGACGUUCGCCAAGAACAAUCCUAAGAUCGGCGCCAUUGUCUGGGCUGGUUACCCUGGCCAGGCCGGUGGCAUCGCCAUUGCCCAGGUCCUCUUCGGCGAGCACAACCCCGGUGAGAUUUUGUUUCACUCCGCUCUGAGCAAUUCUUGGCCGCGCGCUUUCCUAGGCUGUACUGUACUGACUGCUGGACAUGACGGAUCAUCAGGUGGGAGGCUGCCGGUGACAUGGUACCCCAAGGAGUUCACGGCGGUGCCCAUGACGGACAUGCGGAUGCGCGCCGACCCGUCCACGGGCUACCCGGGACGCACCUACAGGUUCUACAAGGGCAAGACCGUGUACAGCUUCGGCUACGGCCUGAGCUACUCCAAGUACUCCCACCGGUUCGCGUCCAGGGGCACGAAGCCGCCGUCCAUGAGCGGCAUCGGGGGCCUGAAGGCGACGGCGUCGGCGGCGGGCACGGUGAGCUACGACGUCGAGGAGAUGGGCGCGGAGGCGUGCGACAGGCUCCGGUUCCCGGCGGUGGUGAGGGUGCAGAACCACGGGCCCAUGGACGGGAGGCACCCGGUGCUGCUGUUCCUCCGGUGGUCGAACGCGACGGACGGGCGACCCGCGAGCCAGCUCAUCGGGUUCCAGAGCGUGCACCUCAAGGCGGAGGAGGCCGCGCACGUGGAGUUCGAGGUGAGCCCCUGCAAGCACUUGAGCAGGGCCGCGGAGGACGGCCGCAAGGUGAUCGACCAGGGGUCGCACUUCCUCAAGGUGGGCGACGACGAGUUCGAGUUGAGCUUCAUGGCCUGA